rnacentral:tRNA from 1 species
GCCCAGGUGGCGGAAUUGGUAGACGCGCCAGGUUCAGGGUCUGGUACCCGCAAGGGUGUGCUGGUUCGAUUCCAGUCCUGGGCACCA